rnacentral:rRNA from 1 species
UCAGUAACGGCGAGUGAAGCGGCAACAGCUCAAAUUUGAAAUCUGGCCUCUUUGGGGUCCGAGUUGUAAUUUGUAGAGGAUGUUUCGGGCACCGCUCCGGUUUAAAUUUCUUGGAACAGAAUGUCAAAGAGGGUGAGAACCCCGUCUUGGACCGGCAGUAGGGCCCAUGUGAAACUCCUUCGACGAGUCGAGUUGUUUGGGAAUGCAGCUCAAAAUGGGUGGUAAAUUUCAUCUAAAGCUAAAUAUUGGCCAGAGACCGAUAGCGCACAAGUAGAGUGAUCGAAAGAUGAAAAGCACUUUGAAAAGAGAGUUAAACAGUACGUGAAAUUGUUGAAAGGGAAGCGCUUGCAACCAGACUUGCGCGCGGUGGUUCCCCCUUCCUUUUGGUUGGGUUAUUCCGCCGUGUCCAGGCCAACAUCGGUUCUGGGGGUCGGUUAAAGGCCUGGGGAAUGUAUCUACCCUUCGGGCGUAGACUUAUAGCCCCGGGUGUCAUGCGACCUCCCGGGACCGAGGAACGCGCUUCGGCUCGGAUGUUGGCGUAAUGGUUGUCAGCGACCCGUCUUGAAACACGGACCAAGGAGUCUAACAUCUAUGCGAGUGUUUGGGUGUCAAACCCGGAACGCGGAAUGAAAGUGAACGGAGGUAGGAAGCUUCGGCUGCACUAUCGACCGAUCCUGAUGUCUUCGGAUGGAUUUGAGUAAGAGCAUAGCUGUUGGGACCCGAAAGAUGGUGAACUAUGCCUGAAUAGGGUGAAGCCAGAGGAAACUCUGGUGGAGGCUCGCAGCGGUUCUGACGUGCAAAUCGAUCGUCAAAUUUGGGUAUAGGGGCGAAAGACUAAUCGAACCAUUAAAAAGUUACCGGUGGUUAAGUGUAACCGUGAAAGCGGUUGCAAGUGCCAGGUUCUGGCGCGACACUGUCAAAUUGCGGGACUCCCUAAAGCUCCGACGACGCCUCGCCCACGAAGUGGGA